rnacentral:rRNA from 1 species
AUCCCUACGGGGCGCAGCAGUAGGGAAUCUUCCACAAUGGACGAAAGUCUGAUGGAGCAACGCCGCGUGAGUGAAGAAGGGUUUCGGCUCGUAAAGCUCUGUUGGUAGUGAAGAAAGAUAGAGGUAGUAACUGGCCUUUAUUCGACGGUAAUUACUUAGAAAGUCACGGCUAACUACGUGCCAGCAGCCGCGGUAAUACGUAGGUGGCAAGCGUUGUCCGGGUUUAUUGGGCGUAAAGCGAGUGCAGGCGGUUUAAUAA